rnacentral:rRNA from 1 species
UACGGAGGGGGCGAGCGUUAUUCGGAAUCACUGGGCUUAAAGGGCGCGUAGGCGGGCUGCCGCGUCCGGGGUGAAAUCCCACGGCUCAACCGUGGAACGGCCUCGGAUACGGGCGGCCUGGAGGCGGGUAGGGGCGGGCGGAACUCUGGGUGGAGCGGUGAAAUGCGUUGAGAUCCAGAGGAACUCCGGUGGCGAAGGCGGCCCGCUGGACCCUUCCUGACGCUGAGGCGCGAAAGCCAGGGGAGCGAACGGG